GCCAGGUGUGGUGGCGGGCGCCUGUAAUCCCAGCUACUCGGAAGGCUGAUGCAGGACAAUCACUUGAACCUGGGAGACGGAGGUUGCAGUGAGCUGAGAUUGUGCCAUUUGCACUCCAGCCUGGACCACAGAGCAAGACUCCAUCUCAGAAAAAAAAAAAAAAGAAGCUCAGGCUGGAGUGCAAUGGCGCGAUCUCGGCUCACCGCAACCUCUGCCUCCCGCGUUCAAGUGGUUCUCCUGCCUCAG
rnacentral:sRNA from 1 species